AGCAGGGAAUGACCCUGAGGAAAGUUUCUGCUUGGAGAAUCAGCUCAGGUGCUGCAGCAGCAAGGACCUUCAAAGGGAGCAACUUGCACAGCCUGCAGGAAAGGAUGAGGCUUCCUCUGCUAGAAGAUAUAGGAUGAUGUGCGCCGCCCAGAGAGCUCGACACAGUCUUGCUGCUCGAUCAGCUACUGUGCUGUAUGCUGCUGGGGAUGAUGCAGCCCCUCCUCAUCGCAGGAACAUCUGGCUCAGCAUGGGCAAAUCGAAUCCCUCAGACUUAUCCGACUUCUGCAUGCAUGCCUGUACCAGUGCGUGCUCCAAGAGUGAUUACAUCUUCAAACAGGGAGCUGUGACCAGACCUGCACUUGGGAUGCAGACAGCAAUACUGGAGACUGCUCCACCAGGACUUCAAGACCUAUCUUCCUAAGUUCUCUCCAAGCAGGUGGGUUAUUUAUUUAUUUAUUUGUUAAGCACAACACCUUCCCUUCCUCAUCCCUCUUCAAUUUCACCUUCAACCGCUCCUUUUUCUCCCUAAGAAAAUCUAAAAUUUCUACAAGAGCAACACGACUGCAAUUCUGUUUAGAUAGGCUCCAGAGGAUCAUGUACACUUGUCUUCUCUUUACCUUUCCCCUACUUCUUCAUGAUUUGAUUCCAGCCUUACAGCACUUUGAUUAGUUUGCUUGCAUCCGGAAAUAAGCACUGGUUUCUAAUUUGCAACACACCCAUAGUAAAAUGAAGGUGAGGGGGUGGAGCCAGCAAGCAGUCAGUUCUUUGCUAUGCAAUUAAACAAAUCUGGGCAGGACAAGUUUGCAGCCUAAGGCUCCGAACCCCACCCAGGGCAAUGAGGCAACAGGAACAAAGCAACCAGCCCCAGAGAGGCCAGAUGCUGGUAAUGGGUCUAACUGGCCACUUUGUUAAUCACUGCCAGCAAGAGGACGUGGCUAUGGCCCAUAUUGCCAAGCAGCACCUUCUGUUACUUACCGUGCACUCUGUGAUGCAGAAAAGGCUUUCAAUUUGUCAGGUGUGGAGAACUGACAGCACACAGGUAUAGUUUUAAGACUGUUUCAACUGUUUCAGUGCCUUUGCCCAAAUGAGAGAGGCUUCACAUGAUUGUUCCACGUGACUUUCAUUGAAAAGCCAUGUCAGAAUUUGAUCGGAGACACAAGAGUUACCAUUCCUUCCAUUCCCUCCUCACCAGAGCGCACGGCAUUGCAGUGCUGCCAUUGCCAGGGCUCACAUUAGCUGAGACGGGAAUACAAUUACUUCUAGAGGUAUUAAGCAAGCUAAUCUUUGCCAGUCACCACAACCAAAAGAAAGGAAGAUUUCUUGCUCCUCUGUCUUUCAUAGAUUAGAAACCGCUAAUCUUCUCCUAGAUGAUUUGCUAUUCUUAUUACGGAGUAACAAAGCAUGGUAAUCAAGUUUCUUGGAGGACUGGUAACAGCCACACUUCACGUGUUUCCUCUUGCUGCCCAGCCACCAUUUUCAGAGCUGCAGAGCCCUGCUCUGAUAAUGCAGUCCCACACAUUAUGAUUCUUCACUUCCCAGCCUUCGUUAUAAAGAAUAAAUUAGUAUGCCUCCCAUAGCCAUCCUCCAGGAACCCCAGGCAGCAUCUGGGUGCAGGAUUCAGCCCUGACGCUCUGUAGCACAGCAGGUGCAGAAAGAGUUCACAAAUUGCUGCUUGAUGGCUACUUGGUUUUGUGGGGGGCGGUAGGAGGAUCAGGUCACAACAGGUAACCAGCCUGGUUUUCAGCGAGAUGGAGAUUCAAUUGAUGUGGCAUCUCUUUUACAUCUAAAUGAAAGCCAAUACCCUCAUGGAAGCAAAGACUUCCCUGGCACUGAGGAGACAGAUCCCUUUGAGAAGGGCUCAUUAAUAAAACCCACCCCCCACACAGACUGUCAGGAUAGAUCAGUUAACGCUAGGCAGGCUCGAAAGAGCUGUGGGUCCAAUUCUACAGGCAGAGUUGGGGAGAGGACAGUCACACAGACAGAAAGCUGCAUAACCCCAGCCUGUAGCUAACCCAGAGGCUUCACACCAGGACUUAGCAGAAGCAUGUGUGUACUGGCUACAUAAGAGACACUAGAAAAGGAAGAACAGAUGCCAGAAAACAGACCAAAUACUAGAAGACAGCGUGUUUAAGCUCUGACUAUGCAAAACUAUUUCCACACACUUAGGAGAAGGUGUGUCUAUGGCUUAGCAUGAUGCCCUACACAUACUACAAAUAAUGAACGCCUGCUCACUUUCCUUCUUCUGAAAGUGGAUGCUGUUUCAGAAAGUUGCCUAAAGAAGCUUAGCAAUAUCACAGCACUAGUUAUCUCUAUUCUAGAUUGUUUUAACAAAAGGCUCCUUACUCCCAAAUCAGUACAACAGUGUGUUUGCAGGAACAGGAUCAAUAACGAGCAAAUCCGAGUGGAGGGGAAUAGGAGGGAGACAAUGAAACUGCAAGCCUUGCCUUUCCCUAUCCGUUCACCAUAUCAGCACCUCAGUGUCAGUCACCAUCCUGGCUGUGUUCAGCCCCACUAAGAGUUUACACUAUGGAGAUGUAAUGCAAUCAAAGCCUUAUUCUGUAACUAUCAGCUUUCUCAAGCCUCAUUCGUUUGAUUGGACCAAGAAUGGUUGUUAAUAUAAACAAAAAUAUCACAGGAGAAGAAUCCUUUCCAUGUAAGGGAAGCAUGCUGCUUGUCCCUAGCUACCUGCAAAGUACCUGCUUUAUUUUCUCAAACAAGACUGUGCACUGCCUCACUGCAGAUUACAUCACCUUCUUGAACUCACAACAGCACACCUCACCUCACCCUGCGCUAUGCCCAAGCACAAGCAGCUUUGGAAGAACCAUAAGCAGCAGCCUUAGUAAUCUCAUUCCUCUGGCAGUGGAGCAAAGCACAGGGGCACGGGGUAAAGCAGCAUACGCAGUGUUGCUCUGAAAGGGAGCCUGCUUGCCUGGGCUAUGCAGACACCACCUCACAACACAGGUGCUGCUCCCUCGUACCAGAGAGCUGCGAAGAGGCUGGUAAUAAGAAUCUUCCCCACCUCCUCCUCAGAGCAAGACAGGAUCCAGUCUGAGGCUGGCCGUUCCCUGCACACAAGCACUGGACCUCAUUCUUCACACCUUGCACACUAACUGCUUAGGAUAGCAUUGCAGGGGGGAAACGACACUUGAAGAUCCACUGCUAAUCCCGCGCAAGACUUACCGAAAGGGAUCCUUGGGAGCAAAGUAAGCUGGGGCAGACAAGUAACUUCCCAUCUUCAACACUGGAUAAACCGGCUCAGCUACAAACUUGUCCAACUGCCUCUGAACAGCUCUGUUCUGCCAACAUGGCAGCAGUCAGUGCUCAUUUAAUCUUGCGCUGAUUCAGAUACUUCACCUCUCUUUGAAGCUGCCCAAGGAAUGCCAGGUCUCUUGGCUGCUCAUCCCUUUUCAGAUUUUUCCUGGCUCCCAUGGCUAUAACCAUCUUCUCCUGCACUCAGCGGCACCCUUGGGAAGGAUAGAAUAACUGCUAACUGGGCUAGUUGGACAUGCUUCUGCAAUAGUUCUUGCGAGCUCUGCUGCCUGCUAACUAUUGUCAAGUUUUCCCUUCUCUGGUUCCACCCAAGGGUGGGAGGGGAGGAGGAGCCAUUGCAGGACAGCGUGUGGCUACAGAGCCUGAAUAAGCUCUACUGCUUCACAAGGGGUGGAGCUCCGAUCCAAAGAGGGGCUGCGUUAAUAAGUGCUGAAAGAGAGCAGCUUUUGCCAAAGCAAGAGCCAAGUGUAUAAAUGUGAAACUACUCUUUGCAGCAGUGGCACAUUCUGAUUGGGAAGUCAGCUGGCCACAUCUCCAAACACAUCAAUUUCAUAUUUACUACAUACCUUCCUCGAUCCCUCACGGUGAGCAGGGUUAUACUGCCUUCACAGUACCUCCUAUCUGUUCAUCCUCUUGUAGGAGGUAACUCACAAUGUGCUUCAUCCAUGGAAAAACAACUUACUUUCCAACACAGUUUUAACAGAGAUCAUUGCAAUCAUUUAACCUAAUCUUCAUCUCCUGAAGGGAAGCUGAGAGGUAUAAAUCAGCACAAAUGAGUACUCUCUCCUUGCAGCACAUGUAGUUAUAUCAUUUUGCUUGCUCUGAAGCCAAGCGUGAUCUCUAGUGGCCUAAUCAGCUAAAACUGUUUGCAAGACACUCAGAAAUGCAACAAACAUAUGCUGCUGCACCGAGCCCUCGCAUUUUUGUACAGUCAGCAAAGCCUGGCAUGCCUGAACACAGCCAGAAAAUCAUGCUAUGUUCCAGAGGCAAGAGUACUCAAAUGUGCUUUUACUGGAGAUGCUCGCCUCAGCUGGCAUGUUGUUCAAGGGACGCUUGGGGCUGGGACGAGGCAGUCUUGGCUGCAGAUUUGACAGCUGCUGCUCGCUGUUGAAGUAAGCAGAAAGCCAGGCAUCCUUUUGGGUUGUUUUUUUCAUUUUUUGACUUUUAAUAAGCAGCCACCUUUCUGGCAAAAAUAAAUCCUCAUUUUUACCCAUUCAGUGCAGUUUCUAAGCCUGCCUGUAAAAGUGCAGCGAAGUCUAGUGCUGCAGAGCCCGAUGUGGUUGUCAAUUCCAGCACGGGUCUAAUUCCUUCUGACAUUUCACACAGCUCUACUGGAAGCAGCAACACGGUGAGUCUGUGUCUAGGAAUGCACUCUGGUCUCCCACAUUCUCUAUAUGUUGCGUCUGAAAAUGGGCCAGCGCUCACAAUCCAGCACUUCCCUGGCUAUCAGCACCACCCCACAACACACACAUACCUCCGGUGCAUUGCAGAGCCCCUCCCCUGCACAGUAUCACCUACAGACAAAAGCUUUUCCCCGCAAUUCUGCUGCCAUGGGCCGAACCCCCUCCAAGGGGGAUUCCACGUGACCUCAUAAAUCCCAACUCUUCAGACAAAACCUUUGAAGAUUUGAUCCACAGAUGUGAUAAGCAGCCAGCUAGUCUGUGAAUGAAGCCAGCAGAUAAAGCCUAACUUCAAAGUAAUAAAAACCACCCAGACAGCUAAGCAACUGGGAAGGGAUUUUGUUUGAGACUUCCUUAAAGCCAAAGGACACACAAUCAAAUGUCUAUUUAAACAGGAAACAUCUUAUCAAAAUGAUUUUACUUUUGCAGCAUGCAGCAGCCAGUAUGUUACUUCUUCCUACACAUAAUUCUCUUGUUACUUCUUGUCUUUUUUAUUGUCUGUAUGAUCUGAGAACACAAUGGGUCUGAUAAAAUGGCUCUGGAAAAGGU